rnacentral:misc_RNA from 1 species
AAGUCGUAACAAGGUUUCCGUAGGUGAACCUGCGGAAGGAUCAUUAAUGAAUUUAAACUAAAAGAAGGACAAGGGGUAAAACUCUUGUUCUUUUUUUAAACACCAUGUGAACUGUUUAUUGUAUUUGGUGUGGUUAAAACGGGGUCAAACCUGGCUUGUAAAAGGGCACCCACCAAUGUUAAACUAUUUUAUCUGUCUUAUUUUUUUUUGUUACUUUGUAAUAAAAUUUUAAAAAAAAAACAACUUUUGGCAACGGAUCUCUAGGCUCUU